CAAGAGAAGUAACAACAACAAUGUCCUGCUUCCUGCUACAGUGACAGUGACGACAUGUCAACGACUUCCUCCGCUGCUUCCGCUUCCGGAGGCUUCAGACAGACGAUCUAUUUAAUAAAAUUAUUGCCCAGCAUCGUGUGAAACUUUUGAUAUUUUACAUUUAAUUUGACAAUAAUUAAUUGAAUUGUUUCGCCGGCAGACCGAAAAAGUUGUUCGUCCCCCAUUCCCAUCCCGGUGGCAGUAGACAUUAAACGCAGCUGCCACAGCUAUCUGUA